rnacentral:rRNA from 1 species
CCCUUAGACGUUCUGGGCCGCACGCGCGCUACACUGACCAGUGCAACAAGCAUCCGUCCUUGGCCGACAGGCCCGGGCAAUCUUUGAACGCUGGUCGUGAUGGGGAUAGACUUUUGCAAUUUUUGGUCUUCAACGAGGAAUUCCUAGUAAACGCAAGUCAUCAACUUGCAUUGAUUACGUCCCUGCCCUUUGUACACACCGCCCGUCGCACCUACCGAUUGAAUGGUCCGGUGAAGCCUCCGGAUUGGCGCGCACCUCGGUGCCGCCGAGAAGUUGGCUAAACCUUACCAUUUAGGGGAAGGUGAAGUCGUANCA